AUCUUCUUAAUUAUAAACUAGGCUCUAAAGAGCCUGUGUCGCUCACCUGGGUCUAUGUGAAUAUUAAACAAAGGAAGCAGAUGGAUUCAUGACAAAAUUGUGUUUUGGUGAUGGUGAUGUGUUUAUACAUCUUACUUUACUGAACAUUCUUGCUGCUUACAAUUAUCUCUAUCUAUAAUGAACUUGGCCCAGUAGUUUCAGUGGAA
rnacentral:lncRNA from 1 species